rnacentral:rRNA from 1 species
AUGGUCGCCGUCGCGCCCCCGCCUCCGGCGCCUCUCCCCGCCGCCGCUCGCGGCCGAAGCCGGAGCCCUCGUCGAGGCGGGCUCGAUCCCCGCCAUGGUUGCGGCGCAGCAGGCCACGCUGCACGCGCAGGUGGACCAGCUCCAGCGCCUCGUCGUCAACCCGCUCGCCCAGGAGAUGGUCAGGAGCCCCUCCCCUUUCUCCAAUCUCUGCAUCGUCGGCUCUGCGCGCAGCUCCGCGAGGCGGAGUGCGACAGGAUCUACUUGAUGCUCAAGAAUACUUGCUCCAGGAAGGGUGCAGACCGCCGUCUACACGAACAAGCAGAGAUACAUGCAGCUCUUCCUCUUCGUUGCUGUCCUGUACCUGACGCCGGCGACCUCGAGUAG